rnacentral:rRNA from 1 species
UGAAGUCAGUCGCGUUGUCUGGGACUCAGCCUUGCUUUUGCUUGGUGCACUUUCCGGAUGACGGGCCAGCAUCGAUUUUGACCGUCGGAAAAGGGCUAGGGUAAUGUGGCACCUCCGGGUGUGUUAUAGACUUUAGUCGCAUACGGCGGUCGGGAUCGAGGAACGCAGCGCGCCGUAAGGCAGGGGUUCGCCCACUUUCGCGCUUAGGAUGCUGGCGUAAUGGCUUUAAACGAC